rnacentral:rRNA from 1 species
UACGUAGGGGGCAAGCGUUGUCCGGAAUUACUGGGCGUAAAGGGCGCGUAGGCGGCACUGUUAGUCAGGCGUGAAAGUCCUGGGCUCAACCUGGGAACUGCGCUUGAUACGGCAGAGCUAGAGGAUGGAAGAGGGUCGCGGAAUUCCCAGUGUAGAGGUGAAAUUCGUAGAUAUUGGGAAGAACACCGGUGGCGAAGGCGGCGACCUGGUCCAUUACUGACGCUGAGGCGCGACAGCGUGGGGAGCAAACAGG